GAUGAACGCUGGCGGCGUGCCUAAUACAUGCAAGUCGAGCGAACAGACGAGGAGCUUGCUCCUCUGACGUUAGCGGCGGACGGGUGAGUAACACGUGGAUAACCUACCUAUAAGACUGGGAUAACUUCGGGAAACCGGAGCUAAUACCGGAUAAUAUAUUGAACCGCAUGGUUCAAUAGUGAAAGACGGUUUUGCUGCCACUUAUAGAUGGAUCCGCGCCGCAUUAGCUAGUUGGUAAGGUAACGGCUUACCAAGGCGACGAUGCGUAGCCGUCCUGAGAGGGUGAUCGGCCACACUGGAACUGAGACACGGUCCAGACUCCUACGGGAGGCAGCAGUAGGGAAUCUUCCGCAAUGGGCGAAAGCCUGACGGAGCAACGCCGCGUGAGUGAUGAAGGUCUUCGGAUCGUAAAACUCUGUUAUUAGGGAAGAACAAAUGUGUAAGUAACUAUGCACGUCUUGACGGUACCUAAUCAGAAAGCCACGGCUAACUACGUG
rnacentral:rRNA from 1 species